GUUGGCACAGAGGCUAGAUCUAGUCUUUCUGGGGACUGCAUCUGCACACGGAAAAGCAUGAAAAUCUCUGUUCAGACACUGAAAAGACUAAAUAUGACAAUGGCUGUGAAGCAUCGGUGCACUCAGCUCAGAGCAAGUCCUGAAAUUAUUAUCAUUACCUAAAAUUAUGGGAAUUAUCAGAUCAUUGCGCUAACUCUUCAGGUCUCUAUAGCGACGUUGGUGAGGAGUGCUCUUCAGAGAAAGGCAGGAUGAUACUCUGCCACACCAAUAAAGACCAGCGAGGCACUUCACAAUGAAGACUUCUCACAAGGGUUGGGGGUUUGUGCCAAUCUCCAUUAUCAGCAUAUUGCGAGAAGUAACUUUUAAAUUUCACACCAGGGCCCUCUGCUGUGUCUGUGGACUGAUUAAGCUUCUAGUUCGUAUUGUUCUGUACUCUUUCUAUGUAAUUCCUAUUCCAUGGUCUUAAAGGUCACAAAGUUGCAGAGAUGAGUGGUUAUAAAGUUAAAUUACCUCACUAGGAUAAGGAAAGAGAGACAGGGAGAGAGGGAGGGAAGUCAGAUGGAAGAAAUGACAGAGAAGAGA